rnacentral:sRNA from 1 species
CACAGCCACCAAGUGGUUUAUCAUCAAACCAGUUAUCCAAGUUCCCAACACAGAUCAGCCUAGCUCAAUUACGGCUCCAGCAUAUGCAGCAACAGGUAAUGGCUCAGAGGCAACAGGUGCAACGGAGGCCAGCACCUGUGGGUUUACCAAACCCUAGAAUGCAGGGGCCCAUCCAGCAACCUUCCAUCUCUCAUCAGAAUUUCACUUGUUUAGAAUCAGCUUCUAAAUGUAUUUUUCACUGGGUCUGUAAUUGCUGGCCACUCUUGAAAGUUAAUGAGAGGUAAACCCAGUACCAACUAAUUUUUAAGAGAGAAGCAGUUGACCCAGCAACCCCCUCCACGUUUGAUAAACUUUCAGAAUCACAGCCCCAAACCCAAUGGACCAGUUCUUCCUCCUCAUCCUCAACAACUGAGAUAUCCACCAAACCAGAAUAUACCACGACAAGCAAUAAAGCCCAACCCCCUGCAGAUGGCUUUCUUGGCUCAACAAGCCAUAAAACAGUGGCAGAUCAGCAGUGGACAGGGAACCCCAUCAACUACCAACAGCACAUCCUCUACUCCUUCCAGCCCCACGAUUACUAGUGCAGCAGGAUAUGAUGGAAAGGCUUUUGGUUCACCUAUGAUCGAUUUGAGCUCACCAGUGGGAGGGUCUUAUAAUCUUCCCUCUCUUCCGGAUAUUGACUGUUCAAGUACUAUUAUGCUGGACAAUAUUGUGAGGAAAGAUACUAAUAUAGAUCAUGGCCAGCCAAGACCACCCUCAAACAGAACGGUCCAGUCACCAAAUUCAUCAGUGCCAUCUCCAGGCCUUGCAG